rnacentral:rRNA from 1 species
GAUGAACGCUAGCGGCAGGCUUAAUACAUGCAAGUCGAGGGGCAGCAUGAGUGUAGCAAUACAUUUGAUGGCGACCGGCAAACGGGUGCGGAACACGUACACAACCUUCCUAUAAGUGGGGAAUAGCCCAGAGAAAUUUGGAUUAAUACCCCGUAACAUAAUGAUGUGGCAUCACAUUAUUAUUAUAUCUUCGGCGCUUAUUGAAGGGUGUGCGGCUGAUUAGAUAGUUGGCGGGGUAACGGCCCACCAAGUCUACGAUCAGUAGCUGAUGUGAGAGCAUGAUCAGCCACACGGGCACUGAGACACGGGCCCGACUCCUACGGGAGGCAGCAGUAAGGAAUAUUGGUCAAUGGACGCAAGUCUGAACCAGCCAUGCCGCGUGAAGGAUUAAGGUCCUCUGGAUUGUAAACUUCUUUUAUCUGGGACGAAAAAAGGCUAUUCUUAGUCACUUGACGGUACCAGAUGAAUAAGCACCGGCUAACUCCGUGCCAGCAGCCGCCGUAAAAC